GCUAUUUUGGCAGAUAAUUGUAUUAAAUUUAGAAUUUAAAUAUGUAAUUUUUAUUAUAGAUAGUA
rnacentral:tRNA from 1 species